CCAAUAGCGUAUAUUAAAGUUGUUGCAGUUAAAAAGCUCGUAGUUGAAUUUUAGGCCUGGCCGGAUGGUCCGUCUUUGGCGAGUACUGUUCUGUCGUCGGGUCUAUCCUUCUGGUGAGCCGGGAUGCCCUUUAUUGGGUGUGUCGGGGAACCAGGACCAUUACCUUGAAAAAAUUAGAGUGUUUAAAGCGGGCAUUUGCUUGAAUAGAUUAGCAUGGAAUAAUAGAAUAGGACGUUGGUUCUAUUUUGUUGGUUUUAGGACCACCGUAAUGAUUAAUAGGGAUAGUUGGGGGCAUUAGUAUUCAAUUGUCAGAGGUGAAAUUCUUGGAUUUAUUGAAGACUAACUAUUGCGAAAGCAAUUGCCAAGGAUGUUUUCAUUAAUCAAGAACGAAAGUUAGGGGAUCGAAGACGAUCAGAUACCGUCGUAGUCUUAACCAUAAACUAUGCCGACUAGGAAUCGGGCGACGUUAUUUCAUGACUCGCUCGGCGCCUUAUG
rnacentral:misc_RNA from 1 species